GAUGAACGCUAGCGACAGGCCUAACACAUGCAAGUCGAGGGGCAGCGGGGAUGAAGCUUGCUUCAUCUGCCGGCGACCGGCGCACGGGUGAGUAACACGUAUGCAACCUGCCCGCCACAGGGGGAUAAACGCUGGAAACGGCGCCUAAUACCCCAUACUAUCGCUAUGCUGCAUGGCAUGGCGAUCGAAAACUCCGGUGGUGGCGGAUGGGCAUGCGGCGCAUUAGCUAGUUGGAGGGGUAACGGCCCACCAAGGCGACGAUGCGUAGGGGUUCUGAGAGGAAGGUCCCCCACACUGGUACUGAGACACGGGACCAG
rnacentral:rRNA from 1 species